rnacentral:rRNA from 13 species
UUAUUAAGGGCGUAUGGGGAAUGCCUAGGCUCUCAGAGGCGAAGAAGGACGUGAUAAGCUGCGAAAAGCUGCGGGGAUUGGCACAUACAAAUUGAUCCGCAGAUAUCCGAAUGGGGCAACCCACUAUAUUGAAGAUAUAGUAUCCGAAAGGAGGCGAACCCGGAGAACUGAAACAUCUAAGUACCCGGAGGAAAGGACAUCAAUAGAGACUUCCCUAGUAGCGGCGAGCGAACGGGAACCAGCCGAGCCUGAUGAGUGACUAGAAUGUGUUGGGAAGCACAGCCAUAGCGGGUGACAGCCCCGUAUAGGAAGCUCUGAGGGACGUAUUAAGUAGGGCGGGACACGUGAAAUCCUGUUUGAAGAUCGGAGGACCACCUCCGAAGGCUAAGUACUCCUUACUGACCGAUAGCGAACCAGUACCGUGAGGGAAAGGUGAAAAGCACCCCGACGAGGGGAGUGAAACAGUACCUGAAACCGAACGCCUACAAUCAGUUGGAGGCUCCUUGCGAGCUGACAGCGUACCUUUUGUAUAAUGGGUCAUCGACUUGG